UCUGGAAGACUCCGUGUCCCGACGAGCUUCACGGGAGGUGUGAGUGUGAACGCACAGGGCACGUAUUUCCAGGGAAACGUAUUUCCGCCCUCUAUUGCCUGUGGUCUCCGCAAGAAGCGGACUCAGUUUCCCGGGUGGCGCUGCGGCACCGGUACUUAAAAUCUCAUUCUCCGCCUACCAGAGUUUGAACUCUUGAGCGGCACUUGUCACUUGUCUCAGUGGUGAUAGCGUCCUUGAUUUGUGGAGGUCUCAACCAAAAUUCGGUUCAUUCUACCCUCUCGAUAUUAUUCUGUUUUCUUCCCCCCUCCCCGACCCCCCACUUUUCAAAGUACUCUGUUCCGUAGUUCUAGAUUCACAGUAUUGCUAUCGCACUGUUUCUGUAGCCCUAAUAUAUUCCCACUUUCCUUAUUUCCAUCUAACUCUGUGGCUUGUCCUGGGCUGGCCCGCGGGUAUCUGAGUGUGGAAGAGCAAGAACAGGGAAAGUUAGAGACGCAAUUUCAAGUGCUCCAGGAUGAACAGGAGCCCUAGCUGGUCUGAUCAGCUUCAUGCGGUUCUCAGUUCAACUGAUGAAAAUAUGGCCCGGAUUAAGCAGAGUUUGUAUCCCUUUCGAGUUUCCUCUACAGACAGACCCUGCUCUUGUCCCUUCCCUAUUCCCACAAUAGGGGACCUGGCUGACACCUGGACUUCUCAUCGCUUACCUCCUCAGCCAGAGGCCCAAGCUCAACAGCCUUGGGCUCUAAAGACUCCCACUCUUGGAGAGAGACUGAGCUGUACUGAAGCCCACAGCUCCUCUCUCUGGGAUGAAGUUACUAAACUCCGAUCCCAGCUUCAGGCUCAGGCUCAGGUGACUGAGGCGCUGAAGCAUUCUGUACAGAGCCUGUUGAAGGAUCGGGAGCAACAUAUGUUCAAGAUCAGUGCUCUAGAAGCAUCACUAAAACUGCUGCAGGAGGGCCCCAAAGGGAGAGCCCUUCUGGAGCAAUGCCUGGAAGGGCUGAAAAAGGAACUGCAGGGCCUUCGGAGUCAGGUUCAAGAGCUAGUCCAAAACCAAAUGAAAGCAAGACCAGGAAAGUUGGGUCCUGCCAGUGGCUUUCACCAAGAGCUGCAGAGUGAGCCAACAUCAGGAGUUGUUGCUGGAACAAAUAGCUAAAGGGCCCCAGGUUCAGGCCCGCAGCUGGAAGGUAGGACAGGGUUAGAUCGGACUCCACAUAGUUCGUCCUGAGUCCCCAUCCUUGCUCUACAGAAAGGGCUUGGAUGUCUUCUCCCACCUCCAUCUCUCUUUCAUUAUUUCCCUUGCUGACUCCACAUCUCUCCAAAGCAGUUCUUCCCAGUCUCUUUGCUGUAGACAUGAUUCACUGUCCUUGCCCACAUGUAGGUUCUCAUGUGUCAAGGAGGGGGUUGUGGGAGGGAGUUUCCCUUGGAAAGAGAGAGAUUUAGCCCUCCCUCUGCACCUCGGUCUGGCAGAAGUUGGAGCACCUGCAGAGUGACCAGAUGGACAGGGUUCAUACCUUGGAGGUUUCCAGUACAGAGGCCCAUGAUGCCCAGAAGGAAGAGCCCUACCUCCUCAGGUCAGAUGUGUGUGCUGGGCUGUUACAGGGGGUUUGUGUUGUAGAGGUCAAGCAAAGUUCAGCUACCCUAAAUUUGGCCAAAAUUGGUUAGGGUGGUCAGUCUGAGUAUCUGGGUUUAUAUUCAUAAGAACAGCAUUGGAUAGUCUAGCUUAGGCUGUCUUUGAACUCCUGGUCCUCCUGAUUUACCUCCCAAGUGCAGAUGUUACGGGUAUAUGUUACCAGACUCAGUUUUUUUUUUUUUUUUUUUUUUUUUAUCUAUUUUUAUUGAGAUGGGUGGGUUCCACUGGGUAGCCCAGAUUGGCCUCAAACUCACCAGCCUGCUCUCUUUUGUUUCCUACAAAUGAACAACAAGCGUGUGCUAUUAUGGCCACUAGUAUUACUGAAAUUUUUUUUGUAUUUUUUUUUAAAGAUUUAUUGAUUUAUUAUAUGUAAGUACAUUGUAGCUGUCUUCAGAUACUCCAGAAGAGGGAGUCAGAUCUCGUUACGGAUGGUUGUGAGCCACCAUGUGGUUGCUGAGAUUUGAACUCUGGACCUUCGGAAGAGCAGUCGGGUGCUCUUACCCACUGAGCCAUCUCACCAGCCCUUUUUUUUUUUGUAUUCUAUUUAUUUAUUUAGUCUGCUUACUUGUGGGCAUAUGUAGCAUGAAGUGCAUGUGGAGGUCAGAGGUCUGAUAGGAUUCGGUUCUCUCCUUCUACUGUAUGGGUUUUGAGGAUCAGCCUCAAGUUGUUAAGCUUGGUGACAAGCAUGUUUAUCAGCUGAGCAACCUUGCUGGCCCCAGUAUUAGGCAUUCUUCAUUUGAUUCAGAGUUGUGAGAUAUAUAUAUAUACAUAUAUAUAUAUAUAUAUAUACACACACACACACAUACAUAUAUACAUAUAUAUAUAAUUAUCUGUAUAUAUUUUAUUUAUAUGAGUACAUUGUAGCUGUCUUCAGACACACCAGAAGAGGACAUUGGAUCCCAUUACAGAUGGUUGUAAGCUAUCAUGUGGUUGCUGGGAAUUGAACUUAGGACCUUUGGAAGAGCAGUCAGUACUCUUAACUGCUGAGCCAUCCCUCCACCACAGUGACAUAUCUUUACAUGUCUGAUCAAUAGUGGAGGGGGUGGGGUGGACUCCUGGCCUCAGAACAGAAGGUUUUAUGCUGGAAGAGUAUCCUAGGUCCAUCCUCUGCUUCUGACUGUUCUCUCUAGGAACUCCGUUCCUGCCCAGCAGUCAAAGCUGCCUCUGGCACGAGCUUUCACCAUGUCUCUUUCUUCAUCCAGCUCUGAAGUCAGUCUCCCAGACUGUGGCCGUAGCUGGGAACUUUUAAAGAAAUUGGAUAGGGAACUCCAGAACAACUCCCUUCCUAACCUGGAACCCAGCAGCUCUCAGUUCCAUGCCUGGAGUCUAGGGCAAGAGGACCUGUUCCUUGAGGGCCCCACGAUCUUCCAGAGUGACCUGUAAGAACUUGUGAGAAAAAUGAGGUGCAGCUUCUAUCCCAGGCAGCCUCCUCAUCCUCUCCGUUCAUGCCCUCUUUACCGAGGCAUCGCACUGUGCAGCCAGUCCUUCUCCCUGGCUAAUUCAAAAUAAAGUAGCUUCAUUCUCCCUGA